GUGUCAGCAGCCGCGGUAACACGUAGGGGGCAAGCGUUGUCCGGAAUCAUUGGGCGUAAAGAGCUCGUAGGCGGCUCAAUAAGUCGGGUGUGAAACCCCCAGGCUCAACCUGGGGACGCCACCCGAUACUGUUGUGGCUAGAGUCCAGUAGGGGAGUGUGGAAUUCCCGGUGUAGCGGUGAAAUGCGCAGAUAUCGGGAGGAACACCAGCGGCGAAGGCGGCACUCUGGGCUGGUACUGACGCUGAGGAGCGAAAGCGUGGGUAGCAAACAGGAUUAGAAACCCGGGUAGUCC
rnacentral:rRNA from 1 species